rnacentral:rRNA from 1 species
UUCGGGGUACUCGAGUGGCGAACGGGUGAGUAACACGUGGGUGAUCUGCCCUGCACUUUGGGAUAAGCCUGGGAAACUGGGUCUAAUACCGAAUACACCUCGCUGGCCGCAUGGUCUGGUGGGGGAAAGCUUUUGCGGUGUGGGAUGGGCCCGCGGCCUAUCAGCUUGUUGGUGGGGUGAUGGCCUACCAAGGCGACGACGGGUAGCCGGCCUGAGAGGGUGACCGGCCACACUGGGACUGAGAUACGGCCCAGACUCCUACGGGAGGCAGCAGUGGGGAAUAUUGCACAAUGGGCGCAAGCCUGAUGCAGCGACGCCGCGUGGGGGAUGACGGCCUUCGGGUUGUAAACCCCUUUCAGCACAGACGAAGCGCAAGUGACGGUAUGUGCAGAAGAAGGACCGGCCAACUACGUGCCAGCAGCCGCGGUAAUACGUAGGGUCCGAGCGUUGUCCGGAAUUACUGGGCGUAAAGAGCUCGUAGGUGGUUUGUCGCGUUGUUCGUGAAAACUCACAGCUCAACUGUGGGCGUGCGGGCGAUACGGGCAGACUGGAGUACUGCAGGGGAGACUGGAAUUCCUGGUGUAGCGGUGGAAUGCGCAGAUAUCAGGAGGAACACCGGUGGCGAAGGCGGGUCUCUGGGCAGUAACUGACGCUGAGGAGCGAAAGCGUGGGGAGCGAACAGGAUUAGAUACCCUGGUAGUCCACGCCGUAAACGGUGGGUACUAGGUGUGGGUUUCCUUCCUUGGGAUCCGUGCCGUAGCUAACGCAUUAAGUACCCCGCCUGGGGAGUACGGCCGCAAGGCUAAAACUCAAAGAAAUUGACGGGGGCCCGCACAAGCGGCGGAGCAUGUGGAUUAAUUCGAUGCAACGCGAAGAACCUUACCUGGGUUUGACAUGCACAGGACGUGCCUAGAGAUAGGUAUUCCCUUGUGGUCUGUGUGCAGGUGGUGCAUGGCUGUCGUCAGCUCGUGUCGUGAGAUGUUGGGUUAAGUCCCGCAACGAGCGCAACCCUUUGUCUUAUGUUGCCAGCACGUAAU